rnacentral:rRNA from 1 species
UACGGAGGGUGCAAGCGUUAUCCGGAUUCACUGGGUUUAAAGGGUGCGUAGGAGGACAGGUAAGUCAGUGGUGAAAUCUCCGAGCUUAACUUGGAACUGCCGUUGAUACUAUCUGCCUUGAAUAUUGUGGAGGUGAGCGAAAUAUGUCAUGUAGCGGUGAAAUGCUUAGAUAUGACAUAGAACACCAAUUGCGAAGGCAGCUCGCUACACAUAUAUUGACUCUGAGGCACGAAAGCGUGGGGAUCAAACAGG